UUAUUAUCUUAAGAUAGGCAAUACAUAUACUAAAAUUGGAACAAUACAGAGAAAAUUAGCAUGGUCCCUGCGCAAGGAUUGACACGCAUAUUCGUAAAGCGUUCCAUAUUUUU
rnacentral:snRNA from 1 species